UUCGUUUAGUUCUUAGGCCGUAACGAUAAUGUUUCUUCUUCUUCUUUUAUGGGCUUUUAAUGAGUUGUUGCUUUGUGACCUACAAAUAAUAUUAAUUGGGCUUCACAUAAAAUACAAAAAUAUAUCUCAAUUUUUAUUUGUCUUCUUCGAUAGUCUCCACUGCAGAUUCUAGGGUUAACGUAUCUGCUUACGUCAGGCUACCAUGGAGGUUCUAGAGUGUUGUCCGAGACAAAUAUUCGUUUGGAUACUUUGUGUCGAUUGCCGUUCCUGUAGUUUCGGUUGCGAUUCAUCUCCUCUGAUUCGUUACGGGAUGAGGUGAAUCAUCGCCAUUAACAUCUUUGUUAACUCUUUGGACCCACGCAAACCACGAUUAGUCAUUCAUUGCUCCUUAUCUCCCUCACAGUCGGUGUAAUCUUGAUAUAUAAAGAGAUGGGAAGAUCGUUACUUUCUUCUAAAUCAUUGGGAUCUUCGCAAACCGAUCGACCCGGAAUGGCAACCUUUUCCCAUCUGCUUGCGGCGUUGAAGGCAGGACGUUGUAACACCACCGUCAAAGUUCGGUAUCUUUAUCGACAUGCUCCUCCUAUUACCUGUGACUAGAAAACUUACUUAUUAAAGCAUUCCAUGCAAUCUUCACACAUGCAAAGAGGUGGAACUGCGACUAAAAAAGGAAACAGUAUUUCUUUCUGAUUUGAAGACGGGAUAAUGCUCCUCCACCGUUCAAGUGUGAUUGCUCCGUUUUUGGGAGGCCGGGAACGUCAGACGCGGUAUUGAACUCAUGGAAUGGAUGCCCACAGGUUUAACGUCAGUGAAGGUUUUGAAAAUCUCACAGCUAUGGAUCUUCAUCAGUAAUUUCUUGGCUAUUUCAACCCACUGAACCACGAUAGCUCAUUCAGUGACUCUUAUCCCUCAUCAAUCAGUAAAUCUCCACUUAUAAAAAAGGUGUUUUGAAAAGGUUAGUGGAGGAGACGGUGGUGGUGGUAGCCAAUAUCAUGACGGCACUGAAACUGAUAGGAAGAAGAAACGUUACCAUCGUCAUACCGCUCAACAUAUUCAACGACUUGAAUCGUAUUUUCUUCUCUCUCUUUUUUUUUUUUUUUUUUUGAUUCAGACACUCUUAUAAUGGUUUGAAUCUCUUGCAGGAGUUUCAAGGAAUGUCCUCAUCCAGAUGAUAAGCAGAUGAACCAACUUAGCAGAGAAUUGGGUUUGGCUCCAAGACAAAUCAAGUUCUGUUCCAGAACAGAAGAACUCAGCUUAAGGCCCAACAUGAGAGAGCAGAUAACAAUGCACUAAAGGCAGAGAACGACAAGAUUCGAUGUGAGAACAUAGCCAUUAGAGAAACACUCAAGCAUGCUAUAUGCCUUAACUGUGGAGGUCCUCCCGUUAGUGAAGAUCCUUACUUCGAUGAGCAUAAGCUCCGGAUUGAAAUGCACAUCUUAGAGACGAGCUUGAAAGUAUGUCAACGGUUGCAUGAAAGUACAUGGGAAGACCAAUCUCCUCCCUUCUCUCAACGCUACACCCAAUGCACAUCUCACCGUUGGAUCUGUCCAUGACUGGUGCUUCACUGGAUUUUGAUCUUCUUCCAGGGAGUUCUAUGCAUUCUCAGCCUAAUAAUUUGGCUACUAUAUCAGACAUGGACAAGCCUCUUAUGAACGACAUUGCUUUGACUGCGAUGGAAGAACUGCGAUGGAAGAACUGCUUAGUCUUUUUUUAACACAAACGAACCUCUCUGGACAAGAGCUGAUGGCGGCGGCGGUAGAAGCGUUCUAAACUUGAUGCUCAGGUUUAUGUGUUUGCAGAGUUUGACUAUGAAACCGGUGCUGGUCAAUGCUUCCUCAGUAAGUAAGAUGCUCAAAUAAUAGUGUGUUAGUUACGAUCAUGAAAAGCAACAAAAUCAUGGUCUUUUAGAUUCUCAAUGGUGCAUGUAUGAUAGUAUUUAAGUUCAGAAGAUUAUACAGAGACUGUCUCAGAUUUUUGAAGAAUUAUACAAUCAGUUUAUGGUUACAUGGUGUGAACCUCUCGCACUAAUUAUAUAUUUGUCCUUCAGGCUCA